AGAAGGUGUGUCCACUAUUUUCCCAGUGGUGUAUGAAAGGCAGGCCAGCUCCUGAAGCCCAACGUUGUUCCUCAAGUUUUUUUUUGCCUGGUCUGUAUCAAAAGACAGAAUCUUGAUGACUAAGACAUUUUCUUUGGUACCUACAAGAAGGAUCCAGCUCUCUACUUCUAUCAACUCCUGGAUGACUACAAGAAAGGGAACCUCCACAUCAUUCCAGAAACUCCUCUGGCUGAGGAGAGAUCAGGAGAUGACAGUGAUGUGUUGAUAGAGAGAGACAUCAUGGCCUCCAUGCAGAGGAAUGUGUGGAUGGACAUAUAUUUAAGGAAGACACUAAACCAGAAAAUACCACAUUACACCCUCUUAAAAGACUUCUAAGAUUGUUGUCAUGCCUACCACAGACAUUCAGAUGAUGUGUAUUCUUGAUUGUGAUUUCAUGUUUGGAGCUGAUGAAGGAGAAAGUACCUGGAAUGUCCUAGAAUUCUCAAGACCCAGGAGAUGAACAUAUGCCUGAGAAGAAGAACUAGUGUGGAACUGUCAGCCAGGUUUUUGAUGAGUGCUCAGACUGCUUCCUGAUCCGGCACCACAUUUACUAUAGUGGACAGAUGCUCUAGUCUCUGAUGAGGAGUUGCUAGCUGUUAGGAAAAACCUGGAAUGGGCUCCACUGCAUGAGGCUUGGUCGAAGCCUUCCCCACUAAUAACAAGAACACCCAUGCCAUGGGAAAGAAGAUAUUAGAGGAAAGUUUCCCAAGAUUUGGCAUCUGUAAGGUACUUUCAUCAGACAAUGGCCCCUCCUUCAUUGUCCAGAACCCCCUCUAGCUCACUUGAAGGCCCUACAAUUGGUCAGAAAAGAUGCCUUGGAAAUGCUGAAACACAAUAAAAAACAAAAACAAAAACAAAAAAACAAAAAAACAUACUAACCAGGAACCAUCUUCGUGCCACAUAAAUUUCAAACAGAAGAUCCUGUCCGGGUCCGGU
rnacentral:lncRNA from 1 species